AGACAAAUCAACGCCAUGUUGUGGUUGACACUGUUUCAGGCAGCAUUGGUUGGUCACAAUUGAGAGAAUGUCACUCAUGGAAGUUCAGAUGAAGACUCUGUUUGGACCUGGGUCCUCUUGACAAUUCCAGGUGUGAGGAACAGCUCACUGUGUUCAUUCAACCUGCUUGAACACUGAACCCAAUCACAGAAGGAGCUGAGCUUCUGUCCUGCCACAGAACUCAUCACAAGCAGGCGGCUGCUGGAGGCCAUAGCCACGUGUAGGGAAGGUCUUUCAGUGAGAUUUCACAUCCUGUAGUUUUCAAAUUUAAACCUAUGAAGUGAGGGGCAACUUGUGAGGUUGUUCUGCAAGGCAGAGCUCAGAAGUAACCUCUUCUCCUUGGAGCUUAGCCAAACACUCCUGGCCAAACACCUUUGGACAACUGGUCAAAUCCAGUGAUCCCCUGCAGGUCUGCAAGGAGCUCUCACAGGCCAAACUCAGUCCCCUUCAAGAUGACUGUCAGCCGGAGACAGAAGCAGCCUUCUUCUGUAGCAUGUGAGAGAGUGAUGCAAUCAAGACUCCAUCGCAUCAUAUUUCAAAUACUCAGUUGCUCAUUGAAUGGUAGAAUCUCCACCCUUGCUUCCUGUAUCUAUAUUUUAGUUUACUUAAAAUAAAUUAUAGUACUAUGAAAGU